rnacentral:lncRNA from 1 species
GUAAAACACCCUCGAUUCACCCGUAGAAGCAGACGGCUCGAGAUUUGACUCAAGCAACUUGAGGAUACCAGCACAAACCUCCGUUAACUCAUUCUCAACUUUACCUCUGUACUCCUUAACGAGCGAAACGUGUUCUUCGUUCUUACGCGAUUCCUCUUUCUGCUCAAUGGAGGAUACGAUACGCCACGCGGCACGAAGAGAGCCGAUCACGUUUUUGUAAGCGACGGAAAGGAGGUUUCGUUCCUCGACGGUGAGUUCGGCGGCCGGAGUGGAACUGAGGACUAGUUUGUCCAUGUACUGGACCAUUUCUUCAUAGCGUUCGGCUUGUUCGGCGAGCUUGGCUAAGUAGAGGUAUUGUUCGUGGCUGAGAUUUUCUGUGAGCAGAGCCGACAUUGUUGUUGUAGAGAGAGAAAGUUUAAGCGAAAGAGGAUGGAUUUCUCGACAGUGUGUGUGCGUGUGAGAGAGAGACUUUUAUGUGCUUUUUCUGCCCUUUUUCUUUGGCUUGUUUUGAUCUUUUAGGAAGAACAUGCCUCGAGUCAAGGGAGUGGAACUGAGUACUAGUUUGUCCAUGUACUGGACCAUUUCUUCAUAGCGUUCGGCUUGUUCGGCGAGUUUGGCUAAGUAGAGGUAUUGUUCGCGGUUGAGAUUGUCUGUGAGCAGAGCCGCCAUUGUUGUUGUUGUAGAGAGAGAAAGUUUAGGCGAAAUAGAAUGGAUUCUCGACAGAGUGCGUGUGCGUGUGAGAGACCGACUUUUUGUGUUGUUUCUGCCCUUUUUCUUUGGCUUGUUUUGAUUUUUUUGGAGAAUAUGCCUGCAG